GUGAAGCGGGAAAAGCUCAAAUUUAAAAUCUGGCGGUCUUUGGCCGUCCGAGUUGUAAUCUAGAGAAGUGUUAUCCGCGCUGGACCGUGUACAAGUCUCCUGGAAUGGAGCGUCAUAGAGGGUGAGAAUCCCGUCUUUGACACGGACUGCCAGGGCUUUGUGAUGCGCUCUCAAAGAGUCGAGUUGUUUGGGAAUGCAGCUCAAAAUGGGUGGUAAAUUCCAUCUAAAGCUAAAUAUUGGCGAGAGACCGAUAGCGAACAAGUACCGUGAGGGAAAGAUGAAAAGAACUUUGGAAAGAGAGUUAAACAGUACGUGAAAUUGCUGAAAGGGAAACGCUUGAAGUCAGUCGCGUUGUCCGGGGAUCAACCUUGCUUUUGCUGGGUGUACUUUCCGGUCGACGGGUCAGCAUCAAUUUUGACCGUUGGAUAAAGUCUUUGGGAAUGUGGCUUCCUCGGAAGUGUUAUAGCCCAUGGUCGCAUACAACGGUUGGGAUUGAGGAACUCAGCACGCCGAAAGGCCGGG
rnacentral:rRNA from 1 species